UAGGGAAUCUUCCACAAUGGACGCAAGUCUGAUGGAGCAACGCCGCGUGAGUGAAGAAGGUUUUCGGACCGUAAAGCUCUGUUGUUGGUGAAGAAGGAUAGAGGUAGUAACUGGCCUUUAUUUGACGGUAAUCAACCAGAAAGUCACGGCUAACUACGUGCCAGCAGCCGCGGUAAUACGUAGGUGGCGAGCGUUGUCCGGAUUUAUUGGGCGUAAAGCGAGCGCAGGCGGAAGAAUAAGUCUGAUGUGAAAGCCCUCGGCUUAACCGAGGAAUUGCAUCGGAAACUGUUUUCUUGAGUGCAGAAGAGGAGAGUAGAACUCCAUGUGUAGCGGUGGAAUGCGUAGAUAUAUGGAAGAAUACCAGUGGCGAAGGCGGCUCUCUGGUCUGCAACUGACGCUGAGGCUCGAAAGCAUGGGUAGCGAACAGGAUUAGAUACCCUGGUAGUCCAUGCCGUAAACGAUGAGUGCUAAGUGUUGGGAGGCUUCCGCCUCUCAGUGCUGCAGCUAACGCAUUAAGCACUCCGCCUGGGGGAGUACGACCGCAAGGUUGAAAC
rnacentral:rRNA from 1 species